CCUACGGGUGGCAGCAGUGGGGAAUAUUGGGCAAUGGGCGCAAGCCUGACCCAGCAACGCCGCGUGGAGGAAGAAGGCUUUCGGGUUGUAACCUUCUUUUCUCAGGGACGAAGAAAGUGACGCGACCUGAGGAAUAAGCCACGGCUAACUACGUGCCUGCAGCCGCGGUAAUACGGAGGUUGCAAGCGUUAUCCGGAUUUAUUGGGUGUAAGGGGUGUUUAGGCGGGAGCUCAAGUCAGAUGUGAAAUCGCCGGGCUCAACCCUGAGCCUGCCUUUGAACCUGGGUUUCUUGAGUGCUGGAGAGGCAAGCGGAAUUCCGGGUGUAGCGGUGAAAUGCGUAGAUAUACGGAGGAACACCAGGGGCGAAGGCGGAUUGCUGGACAGUAACUGACGCUGAGGCGCGAAAGCGUGGGGAGCAAACAGGAUUAGAUACCCCUGUAGUC
rnacentral:rRNA from 1 species